rnacentral:tRNA from 2 species
GCGCCCGUGGCUCAAUUGGAUAGAGCAUCUGGCUUCGGACCAGAGGAGUGGGGGUUCGAGUCCCUCCGGGCGUA